ACAAGUGGCUAUUUCUUGUUGUAUUUUUUAUAAAUAGAUCUCGUCUCUUUCUCUUGUCUUUGCGGCCCUGCAAGAUUCUUAUCUGAAAUUAGUUUAGAGGUAUCAAUUGAUUAUGGUGGACUAUGAAGUGUAAAAGCGAGAAUAAAAUGGAUGAUAUUGGGAAAUCCAGUUUGUACAUGUACCAAGUAUCGAAAGUAACAGUGUUAUGCAUGACCAUAUACACAAGGAAAAAUGUCAGAAUUUUUAUGUACAAGUACCAGGAUGAAGCUAGCAGCCACUACUCAGCAACCAAUACGCAUGUAGAAGCUAACAGCCACUAAGGAAAAUCAUGAACGGACUUAAGAAUACUCGUAACAUAUUUAAAUUGAAACUUAUUUUAAAGGAAAUGUGGAUAAAAGUAUUCAUGUUUUGACUUCAUAAAUGUCACUCAGAACGUUCUUGAGCAACUUGGAUUACAUGAUAGGUUACAAAUUAAUGGCGAAUUCAAGUCAAAUCAUUACGUUGUAAUGAAAGAAUGGAAAGAAAUAAAAUUAACCACACUUUU